GACGAACGCUGGCGGCGUGCUUAACACAUGCAAGUCGAACGAAGUGGCGAACGGGUGAGUAACGCGUCAUCAACCUGCCCUUCAGAGGGGGACAACAGUUGGAAACGACUGCUAAUACCGCAUACGGAAGGCGGGGAUUGAGUGUGGUUCGCUAGUUGGAGGGGUAACGGCCCAUCAAGGCGAUGAGCAGUAGCCGGUCUGAGAGGAUGUACGGCCACAUUGGGACUGGGGCACGGCCCAGACUCCUACCGGCGGCAGCAGUGGGGAAUCUUCCGCAAUGGACGAAAGUCUGACGGAGCAACGCCGCGUGAGUGAUGACGGCCUUCGGGUUGUAAAGCUCUGUUAAUCGGGACGCGGUACCGGAAUAGAAAGCCACGGCUAACUACGUGCCAGCAGCCGCGGUAAUAC
rnacentral:rRNA from 1 species